rnacentral:rRNA from 1 species
GCGAACACGCGGGCAGCGGAAGUGGAAAGACGGAGGGGGCAAGCGGUAGACGGAAUUAUUGGGGUUAAAUGGUCCGUAGGCGGACGUAGAAGUCAGUGUUGAAAUCCUGUCGCUUAACGAUAGAACUGCCAUGGAGACUGUAAGUCUUGAGUAUAAUGGAGGUAGCUGGAAUAAGUAGUGUAGCGGUGAAAUGCAUAGAUAUUACUUAGAACACCAAUUGCGAAGGCAGGUUACCAAGUUAUAACUGACGCUGAGGGACGAAAGCGUGGGGAGCGAACAGGAUUAGAUACCCGGGUAGUC